rnacentral:rRNA from 2 species
CACGCCCUAAACGAUGCGAACUGGAUGUUGGGUGCAAUUUGGCACGCAGUAUCGAAGCUAACGCGUUAAGUUCGCCGCCUGGGGAGUACGGUCGCAAGACUGAAACUCAAAGGAAUUGACGGGGGCCCGCACAAGCGGUGGAGUAUGUGGUUUAAUUCGAUGCAACGCGAAGAACCUUACCUGGCCUUGACAUGCACGGAACUUUCCAGAGAUGGAUUGGUGCCUUCGGGAACCGUGACACAGGUGC